rnacentral:rRNA from 1 species
AGAGUUUGAUCUGGCUCAGGACGAACGCUGGCGGCGUGCCUAAUACAUGCAAGUCGAGCGAGCGGAACCAACAGAUUUACUUCGGUAAUGACGUUGGGAAAGCGAGCGGCGGAUGGGUGAGUAACACGUGGGGAACCUGCCCCUAAGUCUGGGAUACCAUUUGGAAACAGGUGCUAAUACCGGAUAAUAAAGCAGAUCGCAUGAUCAGCUUUUGAAAGGCGGCGUAAGCUGUCGCUAAGGGAUGGCCCCGCGGUGCAUUAGCUAGUUGGUAAGGUAACGGCUUACCAAGGCGACGAUGCAUAGCCGAGUUGAGAGACUGAUCGGCCACAUUGGGACUGAGACACGGCCCAAACUCCUACGGGAGGCAGCAGUAGGGAAUCUUCCACAAUGGACGCAAGUCUGAUGGAGCAACGCCGCGUGAGUGAAGAAGGUUUUCGGAUCGUAAAGCUCUGUCGUUGGUGAAGAAGGAUAGAGGUAGUAACUGGCCUUUAUUUGACGGUAAUCAACCAGAAAGUCACGGCUAACUACGUGCCAGCAGCCGCGGUAAUACGUAGGUGGCAAGCGUUGUCCGGAUUUAUUGGGCGUAAAGCGAGCGCAGGCGGAAAAAUAAGUCUAAUGUGAAAGCCCUCGGCUUAACCGAGGAACUGCAUCGGAAACUGUUUUUCUUGAGUGCAGAAGAGGAGAGUGGAACUCCAUGUGUAGCGGUGGAAUGCGUAGAUAUAUGGAAGAACACCAGUGGCGAAGGCGGCUCUCUGGUCUGCAACUGACGCUGAGGCUCAAAGCAUGGGUAGCGAACAGGAUUAGAUACCCUGGUAGUCCAUGCCGUAAACGAUGAGUGCUAAGUGUUGGGAGGUUUCCGCCUCUCAGUGCUGCAGCUAACGCAUUAAGCACUCCGCCUGGGGAGUACGACCGCAAGGUUGAAACUCAAAGGAAUUGACGGGGGCCCGCACAAGCGGUGGAGCAUGUGGUUUAAUUCGAAGCAACGCGAAGAACCUUACCAGGUCUUGACAUCUAGUGCAAUCUGUAGAGAUACGGAGUUCCCUUCGGGGACGCUAAGACAGGUGGUGCAUGGCUGUCGUCAGCUCGUGUCGUGAGAUGUUGGGUUAAGUCCACCAACGAACGCAACCCCUAUGACCCGUUGCCAUCAGGUAAAGCUGGGAACUCAGGUCACACUGCUGGUUUACGCCAGAGGAAGGUGGGGAGGACGUCAAGUCAGUAUGGCCCUUACAUCCAGGGCUGCACACGUGCUACAAUGGCAUAUACAGAGCGACGCGAGACCGCGAGGUGGAGCAAAUCGCACAGAGUAUGCCUCAGUUCGGAUUGGGGUCUGCAACCCGACCCCAUGAAGUCGGAUUUGCUAGUAACGGCGUAUCAGCUACGACGCCGUGAAUGCGUUCCCGGGCCUUGUACACACCGCCCGUCA